CAGUAGCCGCGGGAAUACGAAGGGGGCGAGCGUUGCUCGGAAUGACUGGGCGUAAAGGGCGCGUAGGUGGUACGGACAGUCAGAUGUGAAAUUCCCGGGCUCAACCUGGGGGCUGCAUUUGAUACGUCCGAACUAGAGUGUGGAAGAGGGUCGUGGAAUUCCCAGUGUAGAGGUGAAAUUCGUAGAUAUUGGGAAGAACACCGGUGGCGAAGGCGGCGACCUGGUCCAUUACUGACGCUGAGGCGCGAAAGCGUGGGGAGCAAACAGGAUUAGAUACCCCGGUAGUCCCUGUCUCUUAUAA
rnacentral:rRNA from 1 species